GACGAACGCUGGCGGCGUGCCUAAUACAUGCAAGUCGAACGCAGGGGGGACGGGUGCGUAACACGUGGGUAACCUCCCAUCAGAGGGGAUAACACUUGGAAACAGGUGCUAAACCGCUACUGAUGGAUGGACCCGGGGUGCAUUAGCUAGUUGGUGAGGUAACGGCUCACCAAGGCCACGAUGCAUAGCCGGCCUGAGAGGGUGAGCGGCCACACUGGAACUGAGACACGGCCCAGACUCCUACGGGAGGCAGCAGGAGGGAAGAGUCGGCAAUGGACGAAAGUCGGACCGAGCAACGCCGCGUGAGUGAAGAAGGUUUUCGGAUCGUAAAAUGCUGUUGUUAGAGAGGCGGUAUCUAACCAGAAAGCCCCGGCUAACUCCGUGCCAGCAGCCGCGGUAAUAC
rnacentral:rRNA from 1 species